rnacentral:rRNA from 1 species
UAGAGUUUGAUCCUGGCUCAGAUUGAACGCGGCGGCAGGCCUAACACCAAGUCGAACGGUAGCACAGAGGAGCUUGCUCCUGGGUGACGAGUGGCGGACGGGUGAGUAAUGUCUGGGAAACUGCCUGAUGGAGGGGGAUAACUACUGGAAACGGUAGCUAAUACCGCAUAACGUCGCAAGACCAAAGAGGGGGACCUUCGGGCCUCUUGCCAUCAGAUGUGCCCAGAUGGGAUUAGCUAGUAGGUGGGGUAAUGGCUCACCUAGGCGACGAUCCCUAGCUGGUCUGAGAGGAUGACCAGCCACACUGGAACUGAGACACGGUCCAGACUCUACGGGAGGCAGCAGUGGGGAAUAUUGCACAAUGGGCGCAAGCCUGAUGCAGCCAUGCCGCGUGUAUGAAGAAGGCCUUCGGGUUGUAAAGUACUUUCAGCGGGGAGGAAGGCGAUACGGUUAAUAACCGUGUCGAUUGACGUUACCCGCAGAAGAAGCACCGGCUAACUCCGUGCCAGCAGCCGCGGUAAUACGGAGGGUGCAAGCGUUAAUCGGAAUUACUGGGCGUAAAGCGCACGCAGGCGGUCUGUCAAGUCGGAUGUGAAAUCCCCGGGCUCAACCUGGGAUGCUUAGACAGGCUAGAGUCUUGUAGAGGGGGGUAACGGAGAGGUAGAGAUGGAGGAAUACCGGGCGAAGGCGGCCCCCGA